CGUCCUGCAGGGAUAGGGGCGGCACGGGGAAACGACAAAAGAGGCGGGGAAGGAAAUGGAGAAGCAAAAGAAGCAGAAGGGAAGAGAGUAGAAAAAGGAUGGAUGGGAGGCAACGUUUUCCCAGACGAAAAAGACGAGGAGUGUUGAGUGGCAAGAUCAAACUGCACAGAAGGAACAAAAUGAAAGUGAGACAUUUGUUGGGUUUUUUUUUUUUUUUUUUUUUUCUCUCCUCGGGACGAGACGGGAGAAAGAGCGAGACCGCAGCCGGGCAAACUGCCUGUCUUGACCCCUCCCUUUUCCACGCGCCAUAUCCCUAAAAUAACACGGAGCAUCCCCGUAGAGGCCUCCAGGCUUGCUCUUGGAAGGCUGCUGUCACGGUGGAGUUGGAAUUUGGCCACACACACAUAUAUAUAUAUUUUUUUAACGACCAUCACGGCUCUUUUAUGCUACAGGUGCACGGCUGCGGUCUUGCGCGCGCACACACACACACACGCACGCGCACAAGUCUGGGCGCUGAGGUCAUCCAAUGUGGCUCCCAGUUAAAAGCAAGAAGAGAGGUCGUGGAUAUUUUUUCUACAGCUACGUCGCUUUUCCAUACUAGGAAAUGUGUGCACUGUUAGUAAGGUCAUGAAAAAAGUCUUCAAAAUUCGUUGUUUAGAAUCGUUUUGUCCAUAAGACAAAAUGGAAAUGGAAAUAAACCAUUUCAGGGCCAUGUUGUUGAUAUUAUAAAACAGGAUGUGUGAAAAUACAUUCACUAUAACUGCUGUCUAAUAUAACAAUAGAGGCAAAUAUAUUUAUGCUUUGUAUAGCUUUCAGGUUCCACUGUACGAAAAAAAAAAAAAAAACACUAAAUGAACUUCCCUGGCAGCCAUACAUUGACAACAACUCAGCCUCCAUCCUUUUUGGUUUUUGAAAUCCCCAUCAGCACUACUCUCUGCCACGGGACAACCUGUCCAGCAAAACGCGACGGCAGAAGGCAAGGCAGGUGCACCGCAGCCCACCCCAGGCCCCUCACUGUCCAAAACAACCCAAGGAGGCUGGAGCGAGCGGCACAAGUUCACGAAACAAAAGGGGAGCUUGAACCCGUGAUGACUCACUGAAGCAGAGCCUUGGUCUUGCGGGACGGAUCGUCGGGCCUGAAGUUCUUGUACUCUUCCACCUCCUUCUCGAUGGAGAGGAGCUGGCUUUGCAGCUUGGCCCGCAGAGCCGGCAGCGUGUCCCGGAUGUGGUUGGAGAGUUCAUCAGCUGCAGAACUAAAGGACGACGGGUCACGAUGCCGGAGCCACGUGGAAGGAAAUCCCUAGAACACAACAAUGCUACGUGAGA